GACGAACGCUGGCGGCGUGCUUAACACAUGCAAGUCGAGCGGUAAGGCCCUUUCGGGGGUACACGAGCGGCGAACGGGUGAGUAACACGUGGGUGACCUGCCCUCAGCUCUGGGAUAAAGCCUGGGAAACCGGGUCUAAUACUGGAUAUGACUCCAUGACGCAUGUUGUGGGGUGGAAAGCCUUGUGCGGCUGAGGAUGGGCCCGCGGCCUAUCAGCUUGUUGGUGGGGUGAUGGCCUACCAAGGCGACGACGGGUAGCCGGCCUGAGAGGGCGACCGGCCACACUGGGACUGAGACACGGCCCAGACUCCUACGGGAGGCAGCAGUGGGGAAUCUUGCGCAAUGGGCGAAAGCCUGACGCAGCGACGCCGCGUGAGGGAUGACGGCCU
rnacentral:rRNA from 1 species